UACGGAGGAUCCAAGCGUUAUCCGGAUUUAUUGGGUUUAAAGGGUGCGUAGGCGGCUUAUUAAGUCAGGGGUGAAAGACGGUGGCUCAACCAUCGCAGUGCCCUUGAUACUGAUGAGCUUGAAUACACUAGAGGUAGGCGGAAUGUGACAAGUAGCGGUGAAAUGCAUAGAUAUGUCACAGAACACCGAUUGCGAAGGCAGCUUACUAUGGUGUCAUUGACGCUGAGGCACGAAAGCGUGGGAUCAAACAGG
rnacentral:rRNA from 1 species